rnacentral:rRNA from 1 species
ACGAACGCUGGCGGCGUGCUUAACCCAUGCAAGUCGAACGGUGAAGCUCCAGCUUGCUGGAGUGGAUCAGUGGCGAACGGGUGAGUAACACGUGAGCAACCUGCCCCUGACUCUGGAAUAAGCGCUGGAAACGGCGUCUAAUACUGGAUACGAGAAGGGUCCGCAUGGGCACUUUCUGGAAAGUUUUUCGGUUGGGGAUGGGCUCGCGGCCUAUCAGCUUGUUGGUGAGGUAAUGGCUCACCAAGGCGACGACGGGUAGCCGGCCUGAGAGGGCGACCGGCCACACUGGGACUGAGACACGGCCCAGACUCCUACGGGAGGCAGCAGUGGGGAAUAUUGCACAAUGGGCGAAAGCCUGAUGCAGCGACGCCGCGUGAGGGAUGACGGCCUUCGGGUUGUAAACCUCUUUCAGCAGGGAAGAAGCGAAAGUGACGGUACCUGCAGAAGAAGCACCGGCUAACUACGUG